rnacentral:sRNA from 1 species
AGACAGGGAUGUUUAUUCACAGGACAUCACAAAUACAUAAUAACAACAUCUUUCUUUAGCAUAGUCUCUUCACUUCGGCUGUAGACUUGGGCGGAAAUCGUUCUUCUUGUAAUGUAAACAUCCUUCAAGAAUGGUUUCUAGAAGUGCGCACCUUCUGCACUGGCCUGGAUGGCGGUGCGCAUGGCAGAGUUAUAACAAUAGUAAUGAAUGUUAUUUAAUAGCAAGACAUACUACAUAACUAUUGAAAUCAUCAGAGACAGAAAAAUGAUACAAGGAUUAGCAUAUCAAAAAAGAAUAACCAACCAAAUUUAAAAGCAAAUACACACCAUCAAUUUCUCGACUGGCGAAAAUUAGCCUACUAAUGAGUAUAACUUUUAUUAUAAAAUUUUGCGUAUUUAUAUAUAGAUACACACAAUUUACGUCUUGUUUUGUUAUUUUUAGAACUGUUGGUUUAAUCUCUACGCAAAACAAAUCGCUUCCAAAACGAGCACUUCUACGUUCGAGCAUAUGUCUCUUAAAGGUUUAUAAAAACAGGUUUUAUUGGGGGGUAGGUUAAAAAAACUAAUAAAUCAGAGAAAAAAGAAAAAAAACAAUAUUCUAGACGAAGCACUGUCAGACCCCUAGGAACACGCACUACACCACAGCAGACAAAUCACACUUAUUGCACGCUAUUGUUUUAUGCCUCCAUCUCAACAUCACAUGAUAAACACCCUAGGGACCCUACACUUACAACGACACCAGUCCUCUCUUGCGCACAUUCAAAAUUAGCCGCAAUAUAUGCAAACGAAAAAUAAUCCAACACGGAGCAACAAAACAUAAACAUUGGGAGGUCAGAUUAUUACGAGUAGAUAUUAGUAAUUAGAUAUUAGUAAUUAGAAGUUGAAUCUUAGCUAAGAUUAAAAGGUAAGUGUACUACUAGACUAACUAGAGAAAGUAUUGUACUAGUGUACUACUAGACUAACUAGAACUUAUGUAUAACACAACUUUAAUUUGUCCACAGGGUUCACAAAGACUUUACUUUCGGAAACUACAAGGAAAUCAAAGAAUAAGCUAUUGACAAAAAAAUGCGAUGAAGACAAUAUUCAAAAAUGAACUGAAAACUUGUUGAAAGGGAUUCCAUUCAGUCAAAUGAUGCAGAGCAAUUGAGAAAGUCGAACGACAGAUCAUGUGUGGUGCCCCAACGUCUCAUCAGACUAACAGAAAUGUAAAUCUGGAGAUUGUGGCUAAAACUAAUAAAGGGCUCUUAAGACAUUAUUCCAGGAAACAGAUCAUGUGUGGCACCCCAACAUCUCAAAUAUCUGGAGAUUAUGACAGACUAAAAAAGAUAAGUACAAAUUUUUAUAUUAACUAGACUAACUAGAGGAAGUAUUGUUGUACUAGUGUACUACUAGACUAACUAGAACUUAAGUGUAACAUAACUUUAAUUCGUCCACAGCGUUCGCAAAGACUUUAGUUUCAAAAACUAUGAGGAAAA